rnacentral:rRNA from 1 species
AGUGAACGCUGGCGGUAGGCCUAACACAUGCAAGUCGAACGGCAGCACAGUAAGAGCUUGCUCUUACGGGUGGCGAGUGGCGGACGGGUGAGGAAUACAUCGGAAUCUACUUUUUCGUGGGGGAUAACGUAGGGAAACUUACGCUAAUACCGCAUACGACCUACGGGUGAAAGCAGGGGAUCUUCGGACCUUGCGCGAUUGAAUGAGCCGAUGUCGGAUUAGCUAGUUGGCGGGGUAAGGGCCCACCAAGGCGACGAUCCGUAGCUGGUCUGAGAGGAUGAUCAGCCACGCUGGAACUGAGACACGGUCAAGACUCCUACGGGCGGCAGAAGUGGGGAAUAUUGGACAAUGGGCGCAAGCCUGAUCCAGCCAUACCGCGUGGGUGAAGAAGGCCUUCGGGUUGUAAAGCCCUUUUGUUGGGAAAGAAAAGCAGCAGGUUAAUACCCCGCUGUUCUGACGGUACCCAAAGAAUAAGCACCGGCUAACUUCGUG